rnacentral:tRNA from 1 species
GGGAAUGUGGCUUAGUGGUAGAGUGCUUGCUUAGCAUGUAUGAAGCCCUGGGUUCAAUUCCUCAGUACCA